rnacentral:rRNA from 1 species
AUUGAACGCUGGCGGCAGGCCUAACACAUGCAAGUCGAACGGUAACAGGAAGACGCUUGCUUCUUUGCUGACGAGUGGCGGACGGGUGGGUAAUGUCUGGGAAACUGCCUGAUGGAGGGGGAUAACUACUGGAAACGGUAGCUAAUACCGCAUAACGUCGCAAGACCAAAGAGGGGGACCUUCGGGCCUCUUGCCAUCGGAUGUGCCCAGAUGGGAUUAGCUAGUAGGUGGGGUAACGGCUCACCUAGGCGACGAUCCCUAGCUGGUCUGAGAGGAUGACCAGCCACACUGGAACUGAGACACGGUCCAGACUCCUACGGGAGGCAGCAGUGGGGAAUAUUGCACAAUGGGCGCAAGCCUGAUGCAGCCAUGCCGCGUGUAUGAAGAAGGCCUUCGGGUUGUAAAGUACUUUCAGCGGGGAGGAAGGGAGUAAAGUUAAUACCUUUGCUCAUUGACGUUACCCGCAGAAGAAGCACCGGCUAACUCCGUG